AUGUCUGACAAAUUAACCUCAAGCUACUUGUUCUCAAAUUAACCUCUGGGUCUUGCAAGAGUACUUAUUUUUUUGAACACUUCAACUUCUCUUGGUUAAUGAAAUUUCAAAAAAAGAAUAGCUUAUUCCUCUGUGUCUCACAUGGGUUUCAUAAUUAUAGGAACUGGUUCCAUAGCCAACAUUGGACUCAAUGGAGCUAUUUUACAAAUAUCAUCCCAUGGAUUUAUUGGUGCUACACUUUUUUUCUUGGCAGGAACCGCUUUUGAUAGAAUGUGUCUUGUUUAUCUCGAAGAACUGGGGGGGGGGGAUAUCUAUCCCAAUGCCUAAAAUUUUUACCAUGUUUAG
rnacentral:rRNA from 1 species